ACCAUAUCACGUUGAAACACCGAAGUUAAGCAACGUCGAGCCUGGUUAGUACCAAGAUGGGUGGUCGCUUGGGAAUACUUGGUGCUGUAU